rnacentral:rRNA from 1 species
UACGAAGGGGGCUAGCGUUGUUCGGAAUUACUGGGCGUAAAGCGCGCGCAGGCGGUCUUCCAAGUCAGUGGUGAAAGCCUGGAGCUCAACUCCAGAACUGCCAUUGAAACUGUUAGACUUGAGUACGAGAGAGGUGAGUGGAAUUCCCAGUGUAGAGGUGAAAUUCGUAGAUAUUGGGAAGAACACCAGUGGCGAAGGCGGCUCACUGGACUGGUAUUGACGCUGAGGUGCGAAAGCGUGGGGAGCAAACAGG